rnacentral:rRNA from 1 species
UACGGAGGGUGCAAGCGUUGCUCGGAAUUACUGGGCGUAAAGCGCGUGUAGGCGGCCCUGCAAGUCGGAUGUGAAAUCCCACGGCUCAACCGUGGAAGUGCAUUCGAAACUGCAGGGCUAGAGUCCUGGAGAGGAAGGUGGAAUGCUUGGUGUAGAGGUGAAAUUCGUAGAUAUCAAGCGGAACACCGGUGGCGAAGGCGGCCUUCUGGACAGUGACUGACGCUGAGACGCGAAAGCGUGGGGAGCAAACAGG